rnacentral:rRNA from 1 species
UACGGAGGGUGCGAGCGUUGUCCGGAAUCACUGGGCGUAAAGGGCGCGUAGGUGGCGCGGGGCAGUCAAACGGUGAAAGUUCGGGGCUCAACCCUGAAUCGGCCGUCGAUACUCCCGUGCUUGAGCACUGUAGAGGCAGAUGGAAUUCCGGGUGUAGCGGUGGAAUGCGUAGAGAUCCGGAAGAACACCGGUGGCGAAGG